AUGAACGCUGGCGGCGUGCCUAAUACAUGCAAGUCGAGCGAACAGACGAGGAGCUUGCUCCUCUGACGUUAGCGGCGGACGGGUGAGUAACACGUGGAUAACCUACCUAUAAGACUGGGAUAACUUCGGGAAACCGGAGCUAAUACCGGAUAAUAUAUUGAACCGCAUGGUUCAAUAGUGAAAGACGGUUUUGCUGUCACUUAUAGAUGGAUCCGCGCCGCAUUAGCUAGUUGGUAAGGUAACGGCUUACCAAGGCAACGAUGCGUAGCCGACCUGAGAGGGUGAUCGGCCACACUGGAACUGAGACACGGUCCAGACUCCUACGGGAGGCAGUAGUAGGGAAUCUUCCGCAAUGGGCGAAAGCUUGACGGAGCAACGCCGCGUGAGUGAUGAAGGUCUUCGGAUCGUAAAACUCUGUUAUUAGGGAAGAACAAAUGUGUAAGUAACUAUGCACGUCUUGACGGUACCUAAUCAGAAAGCCACGGCUAACUACGUG
rnacentral:rRNA from 1 species